GUGCACCAGGCGAGAAUACUUUACAAUGUGCGAAAGCACGAUAAGGGAACUCUGAGUGCCUCCUAAGGAGGCUGUUCAGGUGUCUAAAAGCACCUGAAGGAAGGGCUGGGUAAGACCGGUGCCAGCCGCCGCGGUAACACCGGCAGCCCAAGUGGUAGCCACGUUUAUUGGGUCUAAAGCGUCCGUAGCCGGCUGGGUAAGUUCCUUGGGAAAUUUGGCUGCUUAACAGUCAAGCUUUCAGGGAAUACUGCUCGGCUUGGGGACCGGGAGAGGUCAGAGGUACUCCAGGGGUAGGGGUGAAAUCCAUUAAUCCUUGGGGGACCACCGGUAGCGAAGGCGUCUGACCAGACCGGGUCCGACGGUGAGGGACGAAGGCUAGGGGCGCGAACCGGAUUAGAUA
rnacentral:rRNA from 1 species